rnacentral:rRNA from 1 species
CAGGCCCUACGGGGCGCAGCAGGCGCGAAAACUUUACAAUGCGGGAAACCGCGAUAAGGGGACACCGAGUGCCAGCAUCCUAUGUUGGCUGUCCAUAUGUAUAAAUCACAUGUGUUAGCAAGGGCCGGGCAAGACCGGUGCCAGCCGCCGCGGUAACACCGGCGGCCCGAGUGGUGGCCACUAUUAUUGGGUCUAAAGGGUCCGUAGCCGGUUUGGUCAGUCUUCCGGGAAAUCUGACGGCUUAACCGUUAGGCUUUCGGGGGAUACUACCAGGCUUGGGACCGGGAGAGGUAAGAGGUACUACGGGGGUAGGAGUGAAAUCUUGUAAUCCCUGUGGGACCACCAGUGGCGAAGGCGUCUUACCAGAACGGGUCCGACGGUGAGGGACGAAAGCUGGGGGCACGAACCGGAUUAGAUACCCGGGUAGUCCCAGCUGUAAACUAUGCUCGCUAGGUGUCAGGGACGGUGCGACCGUUUCUGGUGCCGCAGGGAAGCCGUGAAGCGAGCCACCUGGGAAGUACGGUCGCAAGGCUGAAACUUAAAGGAAUUGGCGGGGGAGCACUACAACGGGUGGAGCCUGCGGUUUAAUUGGACUCAACGCCGGAAAACUCACCGGGGGCGACAGCA